rnacentral:rRNA from 1 species
UAGGGAAUCUUCCGCAAUGGGCGAAAGCUUGACGGAGCAACGCCGCGUGAGUGAUGAAGGUCUUCGGAUCGUAAAACUCUGUUAUUAGGGAAGAACAAAUGUGUAAGUAACUAUGCACGUCUUGACGGUACCUAAUCAGAAAGCCACGGCUAACUACGUGCCAGCAGCCGCGGUAAUACGUAGGUGGCAAGCGUUAUCCGGAAUUAUUGGGCGUAAAGCGCGCGUAGGCGGUUUUUUAAGUCUGAUGUGAAAGCCCACGGCUCAACCGUGGAGGGUCAUUGGAAACUGGAAAACUUGAGUGCAGAAGAGGAAAGUGGAAUUCCAUGUGUAGCGGUGAAAUGCGCAGAGAUAUGGAGGAGCACCAGUGGCGAAGGCGACUUUCUGGUCUGUAACUGACGCUGAUGUGCGAAAGCGUGGGGAUCAAACAGG